AUGCCUCCCAAAGACCACAAGAAGAAGAAAGAUGCCAGAAAGUCAACCAAGAAAAAGACCCAGUGAACAGAUCUGGGGCCAAGGCUGAAAAGAAGUAGUCCAAAGGCAAAGUUCGGGACAAGCUCAAUAACCUAGUCUUGUUUGACAAAGCUACCUAUGACAACCUAUAAGGAAGAUCCCAACUAUAAGCUUAUGACCCCAGCUGUGAUCUCUGAGAAACUGAAGAUUUGAGGUUCCUUGGCCAGGGCAGCC
rnacentral:lncRNA from 1 species